UGAGGAAUAUUGGUCAAUGGGCGUAAGCCUGAACCAGCCAAGUCGCGUGAGGGAAGACGGUCCUACGGAUUGUAAACCUCUUUUGCCGGGGAGCAACGGGGUCCUUGCGAGGGCCUUAUGAGAGUACCCGGAGAAAAAGCAUCGGCUAACUCCGUGCCAGCAGCCGCGGUAAUACGGAGGAUGCGAGCGUUAUCCGGAUUUAUUGGGUUUAAAGGGAGCGUAGGUGGAUUGUUAAGUCAGUUGUGAAAGUUUGCGGCUCAACCGUAAAAUUGCAGUUGAAACUGGCUGUCUUGAGUACAGUAGAGGUGGGCGGAAUUCGUGGUGUAGCGGUGAAAUGCAUAGAUAUCACGCAGAACUCCGAUUGCGAAGGCAGCAUACCGGCGCUCAACUGACGCUCAUGCACGAAAGCGUGGGUAUCGAACAGG
rnacentral:rRNA from 1 species